rnacentral:rRNA from 1 species
UACGAAGGGGGCGAGCGUUGUUCGGAUUUACUGGGCGUAAAGCGUGCGCAGGCGGUGAUGUAAGACCGAUGUGAAAUCCCCGGGCUUAACCUGGGAACUGCAUUGGUGACUGCAUCGCUCGAGUAUGGCAGAGGGGGGUAGAAUUCCACGUGUAGCAGUGAAAUGCGUAGAGAUGUGGAGGAAUACCGAUGGCGAAGGCAGCCCCCUGGGUCAAUACUGACGCUCAUGCACGAAAGCGUGGGGAGCAAACAGG